AGAGUUUGAUCCUGGCUCAGAUUGAACGCUAGCGGCAUGCUUAACACAUGCAAGUCGAACGGCAGCGCGGGGAGCUUGCUCCCUGGCGGCGAGUGGCGGACGGGUGAGUAACGCGUAGGAAUCUACCUUUGGGUGGGGGAUAACUCGGGGAAACUCGAGCUAAUACCGCAUAAUCUUUAAGAAGCAAAGCGGGGGAUCUUCGGACCUCGUGCCUAAAGAUGAGCCUGCGUGAGAUUAGCUAGUUGGUGGGGUAAAGGCCUACCAAGGCGACGAUCUGUAGCCGGCCUGAGAGGGUGAUCGGCCACACUGGAACUGAGACACGGCCCAGACUCCUACGGGAGGCAGCAGUGGGGAAUAUUGGACAAUGGGGGCAAGCCUGAUCCAGCAAUGCCGCGUGUGUGAAGAAGGCCUUCGGGUUGUAAAGCACUUUCAGUGGGGAGGAAUUACCCAAGGUUAAUAUCCUUGGGAGUUGACGUUACCCACAGAAGAAGCACCGGCUAACUCUGUGCCAGCAGCCGCGGUAAUACAGAGGGUGCGAGCGUUAAUCGGAAUCACUGGGCGUAAAGCGCACGUAGGUGGAUAUUUAAGUCGGAUGUGAAAGCCCUAGGCUCAACCUAGGAAUUGCAUUCGAUACUGGGUAUCUAGAGUAUGGUAGAGGGAAGUGGAAUUUCCGGUGUAGCGGUGAAAUGCGUAGAUAUCGGAAGGAACACCAGUGGCGAAGGCGGCUUCCUGGACCAAUACUGACACUGAGGAGCGAAAGCGUGGGGAGCAAACAGGAUUAGAUACCCUGGUAGUCCACGCCGUCAACGAUGAGAACUAGCUGUUAGGAAGCUUGACUUCUUAGUAGCGAAGCUAACGCGUUAAGUUCUCCGCCUGGGGAGUACGGCCGCAAGGUUAAAACUCAAAUGAAUUGACGGGGGCCCGCACAAGGGUGGAGCAUGGUGGUUUAUUCGAUGCAACGCGAGACCUUACCUACUCUUGACAUCUCGAUCCCUGAGAUGGGGAGUGCCUUCGGACGAUGACAGUGCUGCAUGCUGUCGUCAGCUCUGUCUGGAAUGUUUGGUUAGUCCGUUACGAGGCUACCUUGUCUAUGCCACACCCGUAACGAGCGCAACCCUUGUCCUUAGUUGCCAGCACGUAAUGGUGGGAACUCUAAGGAGACUGCCGGUGAUAAACCGGAGGAAGGUGGGGACGACGUCAAGUCAUCAUGGCCCUUAUGAGUAGGGCUACACACGUGUUACAAUGGGCAGUACAAAGGGUUGCUAAGCCGCAAGGUGGAGCUAAUCCCAGAAAGCUGCUCUCAGUCCGGAUUGGAGUCUGCAACUCGACUCCAUGAAGUUGGAAUCGCUAGUAAUCGCGAAUCAGAACGUCGCGGUGAAUACGUUCCCGGGCCUUGUACACACCGCCCGUCACACCAUGGGAGUAAAUUGUACCAGAAGCGGGUAGGCUAACCUUAGGGAGUCCGCUCACCACGGUAUGGUUCAUGACUGGGGUGAAGUCGUAACAAGGUA
rnacentral:rRNA from 1 species